CUAAUACCGCAUAUUCUGUGAGCAGGAAAGCAGGGGAUCGCAAGACCUUGCGCUGAUUGAGCGGCCGAUAUCAGAUUAGCUAGUUGGUGAGGUAAAGGCUCACCAAGGCGACGAUCUGUAGCGGGUCUGAGAGGAUGAUCCGCCACACUGGAACUGAGACACGGUCCAGACUCCUACGGGAGGCAGCAGUGGGGAAUUUUGGACAAUGGGCGCAAGCCUGAUCCAGCCAUGCCGCGUGAGUGAAGAAGGCCUUCGGGUUGUAAAGCUCUUUCGGCCGGGAAGAAAUCGCACAGGUUAAUACCCUGUGUGGAUGACGGUACCGGAAUAAGAAGCACCGGCUAACUACGUG
rnacentral:rRNA from 1 species